AUCAACCUUUUCAUUUUUGAGUGGUUUGGAUGUGGGGGUUUGCUGGCCUCUUAAAUGAGUUCAGCUCCUCUGAAAUGCAUUAGCAGAACAACCCUGUUCAUUGGCGUGAUAACUAUCUACGCUAUUGAAUGUGAGGGACGGUUCAGCUUUCUAACAGUCCUUGGACAACUUAUCAUUUAUGUGACCUCAAAUCAGGUAGGACUACCCGCUGAACUUAAGCAUAUCAAUAAGCGGAGGAAAAGAAACUAACAAGGAUUCCCCUAGUAACUGCGAGUGAAGCGGGAAAAGCUCAAAUUUAAAAUCUGGCGGUCUUUGGCUGUCCGAGUUGUAAUCUAGAGAAGUGUUAUCCGCGCUGGACCGUGUACAAGUCUCCUGGAAUGGAGCAUCAUAGAGGGUGAGAAUCCCGUCUUUGACAUGGACUGCCAGGCUUGUAUGGUUACU
rnacentral:rRNA from 1 species